GAUGAACGCUGGCGGCGUGCCUAAUACAUGCAAGUCGAGCGAACGGACGAGAAGCUUGCUUCUCUGAUGUUAGCGGCGGACGGGUGAGUAACACGUGGAUAACCUACCUAUAAGACUGGGAUAACUUCGGGAAACCGGAGCUAAUACCGGAUAAUAUUUUGAACCGCAUGGUUCAAAAGUGAAAGACGGUCUUGCUGUCACUUAUAGAUGGAUCCGCGCUGCAUUAGCUAGUUGGUAAGGUAACGGCUUACCAAGGCAACGAUGCAUAGCCGACCUGAGAGAUGAUUCGGCCAACCGGAACCUGGACACGGGUCCAGACCCCAAGGGAGGGCAGCGGUGGGAAAUCUUCAGCAAGGGGGGAAAGCUGGACGAGGCAACGCGGGGGGGGUAAUGAAGGUCUUCGGAUCGUAAAACUCUGUUAUUAGGAAAGAACAUAGGUGUAAGUAACGGUGCACAUCUGGACGGUACCAAAUCAGAAAGCCACGGCUAACUACGU
rnacentral:rRNA from 1 species